rnacentral:lncRNA from 1 species
UUGGGUUCUGGGGUUCUGGUGGGUUCUGGUGGGGUUUGGUUUGGUUCUCCAAGGGUUUUGUUGAGUUCUGGUGGGAUUCCAUUGGGUUCUUGUUGGGUUUUGGUGGGUUCUCCAAGGGUUCCAUUGGGUUCUGGUGGGGUUUGGUUGGGUUCUCCAAGGGUUUCGUUGAGUUCUGGUUGGGUUCCAUUGGGUUCUGGGGUUCUGGUGGGUUCUGGUGGGGUUUGGUUUGGUUCUCCAAGGGUUCUGGUGGGUUCUGGUGGGGUUCCAUUGAGUUCUGGUGGGGUUCUGGUGGGUUCUGGUGGGGUUUGGUUUGGUUCUCCAAGGGUUCUGGUGGGUUCUGGUUGGGUUUCGUUGGGUUCUCCAAGGGUUUCGUUGAGUUCUGGUGGGAUUCCAUUGGGCUCUUGUUGGGUCUCGUUGGGUUCUGGUGGGGUUCUGGUGGGUUCUCCAAGGGUUCUGGUGGGUUCUGGUGGGGUUCUGGUGGGGUCUGGUUGGGUUCUGGUGGGUUCUCCAAGGGUUCCAUUGGGUUCUGAGCUUUGGUUGGGUUCUGGUGGGGUUCCGUUGGGUUCUCCAAGGGUUCCAUUGGGUUCUGGGGUUCUGGUGGGUUCUCCAAGGGUUCCGUUGGGUUCUCCAAGGGUUCCAUUGGGUUCUGGUUGGGUUCUGGUGGGUUCUGGUGGGGUUCUGGUGGGUUCUGGUGGGGUUCUGGUGGGUUCUCCAAGGGUUCCGUUGAGUUCCGGUUGGGUCCCGUUGACUUUUCCCACAAUUCCAUUGGGUUUUCCAA